UCAUUAAAUCUAGGAGUAAAAAAAUAUUAUAAACAUGAAUAAGCUACUAACUAGAGGUAAAUUGCUAAGGCAUUCAAGCAGAUUUGUGCAAAUUCUAACAACAAGACAAACAAAUAAGUAAGCAUAACAGCAAGUAAUGUGCUAGAUAACUAAUUAACUAUAAUGUCUCAUUUUAACCGGACACGUCUCUAAAAAUAGGAAAAGCGAAUAGAUGUAGUGUGAAAGAAAUGUAUAUGAUCAAUUCCAUGUGAGGUAUAUGCGAGCUCUAUGCAGUAGUGGUGUCGUUGAGUUUCAAAACUAGACUCGCCGGCUCCAAUUUUCAUGCCAAAUAAACAUGAGAAAAUAGAUGAGGAAAAUUGAUUCUUGAUACUAUAUAAAAGAAGAUAAUAGUCAAUCGAAAGUUAUAGUAAUCACUCCAACAACAUGUUGUAUUCUCAUCUAAGCCAAACUAAAUAUACGUACUUGACACAAAUUAAGUAUACACAAAACAUGCUCCAUAAAUAUAUGUCUAAACACUUUUAUUAUAUCAAAAUAAUAGUUCAAAAUCUUUAGUCAUAGUAAGUACACAUUAUCUACAUAUUAGCAUAUCCUAUUCAAACCAAAGUAGUCAACUUAUCAUUAUUUUUGGACAAAAAAAAAAAGGUAAGGGCCAUCCAACUCAAGUUUCAAAUCUUGCAGGAUACAUAGCAGUACAUGAUAUCUCCGUCCAUAUGAUUAGGAUCAGAUUUUCAAACGACCCUAAAAGACAUUAUAAUAUCACGGAAGUACACAAUUUAUUAACACGUCGUAAUGUAACUACGGACAAAGAAAUAUCCAACUCAUUAUUUUCUAACACAACCACGGAUGCUUAAUUAAAUAGUCAGAAACCAAAAAGAUUGAACUUUACCUUUUGUAGUGCAGUAAACUAGGGACGUUAUCAGCCUCAAAUCUAUCUUCGUUCUUCAUAAAAAGUCAAGUGCAACAAAGAGGAGAAACGAAAAUUCUUUGUAAGCAAUAUUAAAAUGUAUAAAUGUGUUGCUUUUUGUGAGUGUGAAAGCUUGUCGGAUGAUUCUUUUAGCUAACCCAAAGAAAACGUCCCUUUCAAAGGCAAAACAGGGGAAACAUUUAUAGAUGAGAUUAUAAGCCCUAAGCUUUGUAUUUUGGGAGGGAUCUUGAGUUGAGAAAGAUGUGUUUUGAAAUUUAAACAUUACUCUUUGGUCAAGCUUCACGUGAUCUGGGCAGAUCCGAGCAGAAAAAGAUGGAGUGGAGACAAUCGAAAUUUAAAAACAAAGGUAAAAGUUGCAUACCAUUUUCGUGAAUAUUGACCUAUUUGUGGUGUGAAGAUCGAUAUGUUUACCAGAAUGGUAUGGUCAGGCAUUCAGAGCACUGCCAUUGUUGAAGAAAUUUGGCAGUUUUCUUCAAAGAGGAGAGAAACGUCCAGCAACUCUAGUGCAUUUAGGAUAAGAAAGAUUUCUAAAUGAUUUUUAAAUGGGUCACAUGAUUUGGAUUCCCUGGACAGAGUUGGGCUGCG
rnacentral:lncRNA from 1 species